rnacentral:tRNA from 2 species
GGGCUGGUAGCUUAGUCAGGCAGAGCAUCGGACUCUUAAUCCGACGGUCGGGGGUUCAAAUCCCUUCCAGCCCGC